AGAGCUUCAAAACAGCCCGGCGGCCUCGCCUUGCACCCCCAGCCAGUCCGUCGAUCCAGCAGCCAGCGCAGCCGCCAGCGCCGGCACAUCCCACUCUGGGCUUUAAACGUGACCCCUCACCUCGCCUCGUCCUGCCCUGUGAAAAUGUUGGUGCUUCUUGCUUUCAUCAUCGCCUUCCACAUCACCUCUGCAGCCUUGCUGUUCGUUGCCACCAUCGACAAUGUAAGUUUCCUUUCCUGCCACUCAUGCAGAACCCUGGGUCCUGGAGUCAAUAGAAGUGGGUUGUAUUGGUCUGUUCUCGUACUGCUAAUAAAGGCAUACCAGAGACUGGGUAAUUUAUAAGGAAAAUGAGGUCUAAUGGACUCACAAUUCCACGUGUCUGGGAGGCCUCUGCAGAAGGCAAAGGAGGAGCAAAGCCAUGUCUUACAUGGCGGCAGGCAAAGAGAGCGUGUGCAGGGGAACUGCCCUUUAUAAAACCGUCAGAUCUCGUGAGACUUACUCACUACCACAAGAACAGUACGGGAUACACUCGCCCCCAUGAUUCAGUUACCUCCCACCAGGUCCCUCCCAUGACAUGUGGGAAUUAUGGGAACUACAAUUUGAGAUUUGGGUGGGGACACAGCCAAACCAUAUCACAGGUUGAGAAUCCUGCCAAGGUUCUCAACGUUGAACCUGCCAAGGUUCAACCACGAUUCAGGGUUGUCCUCCCUGCGAAGGCACACCCAUCUUCUGACCCAAGGGCUGAGGACUCUUGGCCUAAAUGUGAAGGUUCAGGCCGUCCCAUGUUCAAGUUUUGGUGGCAGGUCCUGGCAGGCAGGAACGUUUGUCCUCCCAUCCGUGAUUCUUUCAUAGAGCCUGGCUCUAGGAAGCCCUUUGAGGAUGUUGUGUGACUUCAGCAUUCCUCUGGAUGAGAGUUCUCAACCUUGCCACUAUUGUCGUUUUGGGCUGGCUAAUCCUUUGUUAUGGAGGCCUCCCUGUGCAUUGUAGGAAGUUCAGCAACGUGUCUGGCCUUAUCUGCCAGAUGCAGUAGCACCCCCACCCCUGGUUAUGACAAUCCAAAAUAUCUUCAGACAUUGUCAAAUGUCCCAUGGAGAACAAAAUCACUCUCUGUUGAGGACCGCUGCCCUAGAUCUUCCAGGUGACCCAUCCCAGGUGGCCUCUGCCCCCAACCCCUGACACCUUGUUAUCAACCAGGGUACCUUGCUGCUAGCCCACCUGGCCAUGUCCUCCCCAGCAGAGCUCAUGCAUGGAACUUUCCAGACUCUACCUAUGCCUCUAUGAAAAAUUUAAUGUUUUCCUUUAGUAUCCAGCUUGCAGCCGUAUGGCAGGAGUGUAUUGGAUAAAUAACCUCUUGGCAUAGAUUAAUAUCCCUCCAAGCAGGGAAUGACACCAGGGAAGCUUCUUAACAGCCUAUACACUGUUCCAAAGACCUGGCUUCCAUCCUGCUCAUUUUAGACUGCAGAGAUAAUUAAAGGCAGAAACAUCGCUCAGAAAGCCAAAAAGUACACCAUACGAUUGGUCACCAACUCUGCCUACAUAUACGGCUCCUGUUGAUAUAUCAUCAUGACAAUAAUAACAUAAACGAUAACACCUGUCACUUAGCGAUCACUAUGGCCCUUUUAUGCAUGUCAUCUCAUGUGAUCCCCACCCCAACUGUACCAGGUAGGGCACCAACAUCUCCUUGCACUGGGUUACAGGUGAAGGAACUGAGCCUCAGGGCCAUUCGGGCACUUGGCAGAGUUUAGAGUGCAGUAAGCAGCAGAGCCAGGAUUUGAGCCAUUCCAGAGGCUCCUGGUCCUAGAGCCUGUCAGGGGAGAUGAGCACAGUAAUCGCAUUUGGGUUCUGGAGCUUCUUGCUGAGCUGCUGUGAGUGGCCUGGGCAGGGACCACAUUGAUGCUAUGGAUUAUAGCAGUGGUCCCCAACCUUUUUGGCACCAGGGACCAGUUUCAUGGAAGACAAUUUUUCUACAGAUUGGGGAGGGGGCAUUGCAGGGGGAUGGUUUCAGAAUGAUUCAAGUGCAUUACAUUUAUUGUGCACUUUAUUAUUAUUACAUUGUAAUAUAUAAUGAAAUAAUUAUACAACUCGUCAUAAUGUGGAAUCGGUGGGAGCCCUGAGCUUGUUGUUCUGGACUAGAUGGUCCCAUCUGGAGGUGAUGGGAGACAGUGACAGAUCAUCAGGCAUUAGUCUCAUAAGGAGCGUGCAGUCUAGGUCCCUGGCAUGCACAAUUCACAAUAAGGUUGACACUCUUGUAAGAAGCUAAUGCCCCUGGUGACCUGACAGGAGGCAGAGCUCGGGCAGUAAUGUGAGUGAUGGGGAGCAGCUGUAAAUACAGAUGAAGCUACCUUCACUGGCUGCUCACCUCCUGCUGCGUGGCCUGGUUCCUAACAGGCCACAGACAGGUACCAGUCCAUGGCCCAUGGGUUGGGGAACCCUGGAUUAUAGUAUUUGGACCCACCAUUCCAGGAGCUCACUGUGAAAUAAAUGGGACCAAAUGUUCUUUUAGAAUCUCCUUUUUCUGUUUCUUCCCAUCUAGUCCUUUGGGAUCCUGAAAAGGUCCCAGACUUAGUGAAAAGGAUAGACAGACAUUAGGGGCAGGAAAACCAUCAGCCUUAGUGAAUCGUAUCCAGCACCCCCAGGGCAUGUAUAUUAUCAUGGCACAUACUAAGAAGAUGCAGAUGGACUUUUUGUCCAUCAGUGAGUCUGAGGCUGUUCAUUAUGUGUUUGGAACUGUGCUUGGCAACUGGGAAAUAAAAGGAAGGCCGUCUUGGGCAGUGGGGGAAGGGCAGCAGCCACCAAAGCACAGAGGGAAAUCAAUGCUUUUGGCUGAAGACAGGAGAAUCUUGUCUGGUCAUCCCAUCCAUUGCAGGGUUUGUUUGUUUGUUUGUGACAGGGUCUUUCUCUGUCACCCAGGCUGGAGUGUAAUGUUGCGAUCACAACUCACUGCAGCCUCUACUGCCCAGGCUCAAGCGAUCCUUCCACCUCAGACCCCUGAGUAGCUGGGACUACAGUCGCGCAACACCAUGCCUGACUAAUUUUUUGUAUUUUUUUGUAGAGAUGGGUUGCCCCGGCUGGUCUCAAACUCCUGGGCUCAAGCAAUCCUCCCACCUUGGCCUCCCAAAGUGCUGAAAUUAUAGGCAUGAGCCAGCGUGCCCAGCCCUGACUGCUAUUAUUUCCACCAACUCAGCCUCAUCUUUUCUCCCAUACUCUCUGAGGGCCUGGACCACCUCUUAUCCUUUGGGAGAAAGUAGCAAGGCAUCACCUGGAGCCGGUUGGAAAUGUGGAAUCCCGGCCAGGGGCGGUGGCUCAUGCCUGUAAUCCCAGCACUUUGGGAGGCCAAGGCAGGUGGAUCACCUGAGGUCAGACGUUCGAGACUAGCCCGACCAACAUGGCGAAACCCUGUCUCUACUAAAAAUACAAAAAUUAGCCAGGUAUGGUGGUGCAUGCCCCUAAAUCCCAGCUACUCGUGAGACUGAGGCAGGAGAAUUGCUUGAACCCAGUAUGGGAGGGUUGCAGUGAGCCGAGAUCAUGCAUCGCACUCCAGCCUGGGCAACAAGAAUGAAACUCCAUCUCAAAAAAAACAAAAAAAAG
rnacentral:sRNA from 1 species